CUGAGAUCUUGCCCUAGACUACCCACCUCCCAGCUGCAAAAGAGAAGGGCUUUAGUUCUUCCCCAACUUGUGGAGUCUGCAGGCAGGAUUCACACCCUCCCCACCAGGUUCUGGCCAGGAGGCUCCUCCAUGGGUUCAAACUGUUACAAAGUUCAGCUGGAGACUUCCUUCUCUCUGUGGUGUUUUCUCCCCACUGCUGGCUGCCCUCCUGAAGGAUCCCUGUGAGGCCAGGCAGGAAUGGCUUGCCUGGGGACCCAGCAGGCUCCCAGGGCCUUUCCCGCUGCCUUCUCUGCCCUUGUAUUUCACUCAACUCUCUAAAGUGACUCAGCUCCAGAUGACCUGAAAAGUUUCCACUGCACCUGCUGGUGGACUCUGGAAUUGCAGAAAGAGUGGCUAAGGUGCUGCUACCUCUCCUGGAAGACAUGCAAAUUCUAAUUCACUUCAAUAAGCACAAUUACUUGUACGGUUAUGACUUAGUAUGGUCUGAGAAACAGCACACCGCAAUUGGAAGUUACUGGAGAAAUUGUGUCCACUAGGUCUUUCAGCCUUUAAUCUGCACCUUCCGUCUCUGUCUCAAAGAUAACAAGCUGUCAACUUUUCUGCAUCAUCCAGCCAUGGGGGUUUAAAAAUUUUGUUGUUGAUGGUCUAAGCAGUCCUUUUGCAGAGAUUUAUUAGCCAGCCUGGCUAACUCUUUAGCCAGAAACCCCUUAGAAGACUUCUUCUGAAAGACCCACCUUCCCCAGCCUCCUUGAUCUACAGGUACUUGACCCUGGCAGGGUCCUCAAAGCCGGAAACACAAUAGUGGAUGCUUUCCUAGUGCAUCUCUCAAGCUCUCAUUUGUAUCCUUCUGGGGGCCCCCUUAAAGGCACACAAACAUCUGCAUUCUCCACACUAUGGAGGCAACACAAUGCUUUAAAGCCUCUCAGAAAACCUACAGGACAGUUAAUAUGAUUUAAGCCUAUAUUUAAAUUUUAUGAGACUCAUUUUCAAGGCUAAUAACCCAGUUUACUGUGCACAAUAUCAAAUGCAAAUUUUAUUACUGACGUGGUAAAAACCAAGACGAUCAUCAUUAGCAUAUCUCCCUGCAUCACCCUUUUUAGCCAAAAGGUGCACCAGGAGUAACAGUGGGGAUUUUUAUAUGUGUUGUAAAUUAUAGUUACUAUCUCAUUAGAUAAACACAUUUAAAAUCAUGUUAUCAUUCACUUAUAUAUCAGAAAGUUGUUUGUUCAAUUGCAGCUAGUCUCAUAUUCUAACAUAUGGUGCAUGAAAUUCUUAGACUAAUAAAAUUUCAAGGUACAGGGAGCUGGUGUCUUGGAUAAAACUGUUUCUGCUCCACGAAUGGCUCGAUAUAAUCUGUAAUUGCUUUGAAACAAUUAUGCAGCAGGCUGUUUUGUACUUAAUAGUAUUUACAUUCUUGGUUUUAUUAGCAACAAAAUGUGAGUGGAACUUGUGAAAGAGAAAUUAAUUUUUCCACUAAAAGAUGUAAACUUUUAAAUAGAGGCUCUAGCAGAUUGGAGAAACUACAAACACGGGGGGUGGUCAGGUCCCAAUUUCUUCAUUUUCUUUUUAUUAUGUCACUUCCUAUUUCUCAUUAACACACCAGACCAUUUAUGCAAUUAUAUAUAUAUAUAAUUGCAUAUAUAUAUAGCAUAUAAUUAUAUAUAUAUAUAUAGCAUAUAAUUAUAUAUAUAUAUAUUUCACAAACUCUAGGCUUCUAGCUUGAACUUAUAUUUUUAAAGAUGUGCUGCCUUCUAAAGCUUGUAGUGUGCUCUUCAUAUUGUCAGAACUGGAUUGGCCCUGGAAGGCUUACUGCAGGAGGAUUUUGUAUACUUUUAUCUAAGAAGAAAAGCACAGGUAAUGUCUAAAUGUGGAUAUUCUUCUAUGUGAACUCAACUCCCAUCUCAAAACAGACAAAAAUCCUCACUAUUUUUUUAACCUAUGGAGCUAUUAUUAUGGACAUUAUGUAAAGAUAAUUUCUUCUUGUUAAAUCAUUGUCAUGAUGUUUUAUGAAUCUUAGAACUAUCCUGGCAAUGCUGGGUGUUAGAAAGCACUAUGAACUUCAGCUCAUUUAUCUGUAAAAUAAGGACAUGCAUACUAACCUCACUGGAUUUUUGUGAGAAUUCAAUUGAUUGCAAUUAAAAGCAAAGAGCUUUCUAAGUGCUAAAGCAGUACACAAAUGGUGGUCAUCACAAAUGAUUCCUGGUAAGUUUUGUUUGAAGUCAUGUCCAGGUUUCAAAGCAAGUGCAGGAUACUUACAGGUGUUUCUAUUUCACCUGGUCUUUCCAGAUAGAUUUUUAUCUUUGUCAUGAUCCACUUCUAGACAUCUACUGAUUUGAAACAAGAUUGCCUUUUGAUUUUCCAUUUGUGUUACGUGUUUGUCAAAUGAUACAUUCUCUAACAUUCAUACUGAAGUAGAAAAAAAAAUUGAUAGCUUUUAUUUUUUUCCUUAAGUAUAUAGUGUAUGUUUGUUAUAGAAAACAAAAAGAAAAAAUUCAAGAAUUUGAUGUAUUUUCUUUCUUAAUUUAUAUAUGUAUAAAUAUAUCUGUUGUACAUGUGUAAAACAUAUGUUCCUUUUUAUAUGAUUAAAAUCACAUUAUACUUAAUUAUAGA
rnacentral:lncRNA from 10 species